rnacentral:rRNA from 1 species
UACGUAGGGUGCAAGCGUUGUCCGGAAUUAUUGGGCGUAAAGAGCUCGUAGGCGGUCUGUCGCGUCGGCUGUGAAAACUCGGGGCUCAACUCCGAGCUUGCAGUCGAUACGGGCAGGCUAGAGUUCGGCAGGGGGAGACUGGAAUUCCUGGUGUAGCGGUGAAAUGCGCAGAUAUCAGGAGGAACACCGAUGGCGAAGGCAGGUCUCUGGGCAUUAACUGACGCUGAGGAGCGAAAGCAUGGGGGAGCGAACAGG